ACGGAAGGCAGCAGUGAGGAAUAUUGGUCAAUGGACGGAAGUCUGAACCAGCCAUGCCGCGUGAAGGAAGGCGGCCCUAUGGGUUGUAAACUUCUUUUGCUGCAGAGUAAUAAGCGGGAUGCGUCCCGUGAUGAGAGUAUGCGGCGAAUAAGCAUCGGCUAACUCCGUGCCAGCAGCCGCGGUAAUACGGAGGAUGCAAGCGUUAUCCGGAUUUAUUGGGUUUAAAGGGUGCGUAGGCGGAGCAUUAAGUCAGCGGUGAAGUAUCCCGGCUCAACCGGGAGGCUGCCGUUGAUACUGAUAGUCUCGAGUCCGAACGGCGCCGGCGGAAUAUGUAAUGUAGCGGUGAAAUGCAUAGAUAUUACAUAGAACACCGAUCGCGAAGGCAGCUGGCGAGGACGGCACUGACGCUGAGGCACGAAGGUGCGGGGAUCAAACAGGAUUAGAUACCCUGGUA
rnacentral:rRNA from 1 species